GACAGAGGAGCCAAGCGUUAUCCGGAAUGAUUGGGCGUAAAGCGUCCGCAGGUGGCAGUUCAAGUCUGCUGUCAAAGACCGGGGCUUAACUUCGGAAAGGCAGUGGAAACUGAACAGCUAGAGUAUGGUAGGGGCAGAGGGAAUUCCCGGUGUAGUGGUGAAAUGCGUAGAUAUCGGGAGGAACACCAGUGGCGAAGGCGAUCUUCUGGUCUGUUUCUGACACUCAGACGCGACAGCUAGGGUAGUAAACGGG
rnacentral:rRNA from 1 species